rnacentral:tRNA from 1 species
GGCGAGGUGGCCGAGUGGUUAAGGCGAUGGACUGCUAAUCCAUUGUGCUUUGCACGCGUUUCUUGGGCGGAGCGGUGGCUCUGUUGCUAAGGAUCUGCGCCU